rnacentral:rRNA from 1 species
UUAAAAAGUAAAUAAAUUUAUUUGAGUAGUAUUAGUUAUGUUCUUGAAACUAAAAAAAUUUGGCGGUAUUUUAGUCUAUUCAGAGGAACUUGUUUUUUAAUCGAUAAUCCUCGUUGUACCUUACUUAAAAUUGUUAAUCAAUCUAUAUAUCGUUGUUAUUAGAAUAUUUUAUAAGAAUAAUAAUUUUCUAUAAUUUUUAUUAAAAUUAAUAUCAAAUCAAGGUGUAGUUUAUUUUUAAGAAUAAAUGAGUUACAAUAAAAUAUAUUUUUGAAUUUAAUAAUGAAAAAAUUAAUGAAAUUGGAUUUGAUAGUAAAAUUAUAAAGAUAAAUAAUUUGAUUUUAGCUCUAAAAUAUGU